rnacentral:rRNA from 1 species
GGACCCGCACAAGCGGUGGAGCAUGUGGUUUAAUUCGAUGCAACGCGAAAAACCUUACCUACUCUUGACAUACUUGGGAGCUCUUGUAAUGAGAGUGUGCCUUUUGGAACCAAGAUACAGGUGCUGCAUGGCUGUCGUCAGCUCGUGUCGUGAGAUGUUCCGUUAAGUCGGAUAACGAGCGCAACCCUUACCCUUAUUUUGCCAGCGAUUCGGUCGGGAACUAUAAGGGGACUGCCGGUGAUAAACCGGAGGAAGGUGAGGACGACGUCAAGUCAUCAUGGCCCUUACGAGUAGGGCUACACACGUGCUACAAUGGGGAAUACAGACGGACGCUAAGCCGCGAGGUGGUGCUAAUCUAGAAAGUUUCUCGUAG